AUCGCUUCUCGGCUCUUUUGAGCUAAGAUCAAGUGUAGUAUCUGUUCUUCUCAGUUUAAUACCUGGGACGGAAACGAUUCGUUUCCUCUAUGUAUUAAUCGGAUUUUUGAACUUGGAGUAUGGUGCUGGAGCUUGCUCCACCCUGCUCACGGGUUGUCCUGGUAUUGCAGUACCUACAGGUUCGGCUCACGUUUC
rfam:Ciona savignyi cont_51277, whole genome shotgun sequence.